UCGUAACAAGGUUUCCGUAGGUGAACCUGCGGAAGGAUCAUUAAUUAUGUUAAAGCGCCUUACCUUAGGGUUUCCUCUGGGGUAAGUGAUUGCUUCUACACUGUGAAAAUUUGGCUGAGAGACUCAGACUGGUCAUGGGUAGACCUAUCUGGGGUUUGAUCGAUGCCACUCCUGGUUUCAGGAGCACCCUUCAUAAUAAACCUAGAAAUUCAGUAUUAUAAAGUUUAAUAAAAAACAACUUUUAACAAUGGAUCUCUUGGUUCUCGCAUCGAUGAAGAACGUAGCAAAGUGCGAUAACUAGUGUGAAUUGCAUAUUCAGUGAAUCAUCGAGUCUUUGAACGCAGCUUGCACUCUAUGGUUUUUCUAUAGAGUACGCCUGCUUCAGUAUCAUCACAAACCCACACAUAACAUUUGUUUAUGUGGUGAUGGGUCGCAUCGCUGUUUUAUUACAGUGAGCACCUAAAAUGUGUGUGAUUUUCUGUCUGGCUUGCUAGGCAGGAAUAUUACGCUGGUCUCAGGAUCUUUUUUUUUGGUUCGCCCAGGAAGUAAAGUACAAGAGUAUAAUCCAGUAACUUUCAAACUAUGAUCUGAAGUCAGGUGGGAUUACCCGCUGAACCUAAGCAUAUCA
rnacentral:misc_RNA from 1 species